UUCAUACAGUCAAAUAUUAUAUUCAUACUUAGAUACAUUCUAUAGUAUAUAUUUUAAUAUACUUUUGUGUUUGUGAAUGCAUUUUAAAUGGAGCCUGAAUACAAUGGAACUAAUUGAUUCACACAAGUACAGUAACACUGCUAAACUCAACACAUUAACAUACUCUUAAGAACUUUAAAGAAGGAACUCCUUUCUUUCUGUAAAGUUUUAGUUAUCUGCUUAUCUUACCUUCAAAGCAACAGAAGACUCGCACUAAGAUUUUAACACAAGGGAAAAAGGUUCCACUCUCCUCCCUCUUGGUAAUGAACUCCCAUGUCGACACAAAGAUAUCCACGGCACAAUCAGUUAGCUAAACACAUAUGGGAAGUCUUGUCAUUACAUGUAAACUGAACCAUCUACUAAUACCCUGAAGACAAAACACACAUACUCUACUGAUUCCUAUUGUAUUCAUUGGUUCAUAUUUUUCUCUAAGUAUAAAAGCAAACAUAUUGAUGAAUGUGGUUUUCUAUUUCCUGCUUGAUUUGGUGCAUUUUUCCACACUUGGAAUGGUGCAAUGAUAGUCUGUACUUGAGUAUGAGGUUCAUAUUUUUUCAGUUGCUUCCAUCUGAGGAACUGACACAAUUGUUCACUUGAGGCAUGCCUUUACUUUAUUUGAUACUGAAGCGUGCGUGCACACACACACACACACACACACACACACACACACACACACACAACACACACACACAAACAC